rnacentral:rRNA from 1 species
GACGAACGCUGGCGGCGCGCCUAACACAUGCAAGUCGAACGGAGAUUACAGGCGGAAGUUUUCGGAUGGAAGCUUGUAAACUUAGUGGCGGACGGGUGAGUAACACGUGAGCAACCUGCCUAUCAGAGGGGGAUAACGAUUGGAAACGAUCGCUAAUACCGCAUGACAUAGCGGAAUCGCAUGGUUCUGCUAUCAAAGAUUUUAUCGCUGAUAGAUGGGCUCGCGUCCGAUUAGAUAGUUGGUGGGGUAACGGCCUACCAAGUCGACGAUCGGUAGCCGGACUGAGAGGUCGAACGGCCACAUUGGGACUGAGACACGGCCCAGACUCCUACGGGAGGCAGCAGUGGGGGAUAUUGCACAAUGGGGGAAACCCUGAUGCAGCGACGCCGCGUGAGGGAAGACGGUCUUCGGAUUGUAAACUCCUGUUGUUGAGGAAGAUAAUGACGGUACUCAACAAGGAAGUGACGGCUAACUACGUG